AAUACAUUUCUAAUCAUUUUCUAUUACUCAAAAUCUCCCCUUUUUUGUUUGUGUUACUUGAAUUUGCAAGUAAUUUUGUAUCUUCAUUUAGAUGAGUACAUUUAAAUCAUAGCACCAAGUCAAAAGUACUGUGUUGACCAACAGCCUGUGAACAGCUGGUAAAAUGUACCUGCGCAAUUUGAGUACAGGUGGGCCACGCCCCCGAUGACGUCAGAGGGGUUUGCGCACGGGACAAGCAACUAGAGUCUAUGCGGUUAACUUCCAGUCAAAGAGAGCAAGGACCCUCGUCUAAAGGGAAUACUCGUGGAUUUUGAAUCAUACACAUCUCGCGAUCGACUGGGAAUCUCCCCGCGGUCGAUCGUGAUCGACUGGUUGAGCACCCCUGGUCUAAACUAAAUGCUGCCGUGAUGAAACGCCAUAUCAUGGAUUAUCAAGGAUUCUCUCUGAAACAGUUUGGAGCUCAAAGGCUUUCUCUCUUGCCGGUUAUACCACAAGGGAGAGACACACACCUGACGAUCUCCUCGGGGAAGCAGCUGUUGAUGUUGUUGAUGUGAUCCUGCAGAGGGGAGCCGGGCUCCGCCUCGAUCUCCUGGAGCUUCUUCAGACCUCCGCUGGU